GAUGAACGCUGGCGGCGUGCCUAAUACAUGCAAGUCGAGCGAACAGACGAGGAGCUUGCUCCUCUGUCGUUUGCGGCGGACGGGUGAGUAACACGUGUAUCACCUACCUAUCAGACUGGGAUCACUUCGGGAAACCGGCGCAAAUACCGGAUAAUAUAUUGAACCGCAUGGUGCGUUAGUGAAAGACGGUUUUGCUGUAACUUCUCGAUGGAUCCGAGCCGGAUUAGCUAGUUGGUAAGGUAACGGCUUACCAAGGCAACGAUGCGUAGCCGACCUAAGAGAGUGAUCGGCCACACGGGAGCGUGGACGCGGUCCAGGCGCCUGAGAGAGGCAGCAGUAGGGUAUCUGCCGCAAUGGGCGAAAGCCUGACGGAGCAACGCCGCGUGAGUGAUGAAGGUCUUCGGAUCGUAAAACUCUGUUAUUAGGGAAGAACAAAUGUGUAAGUAACUAUGCACGGCUUGACGGUACCGAAUAAGAAAGCCACGGCUAACUACGUG
rnacentral:rRNA from 1 species